UACGAAGGGGGCUAGCGUUGCUCGGAAUCACUGGGCGUAAAGGGUGCGUAGGCGGGCGUUUAAGUCAGGGGUGAAAUCCUGGAGCUCAACUCCAGAACUGCCUUUGAUACUGAGGAUCUUGAGUUCGGGAGAGGUGAGUGGAACUGCGAGUGUAGAGGUGAAAUUCGUAGAUAUUAGGAAGAACACCGGUGGCGAAGGCGGCCAUCUGGCUCGGUACUGACGCUCAGGCGCGAAAGCGUGGGGAGCAAACAGG
rnacentral:rRNA from 1 species